rnacentral:lncRNA from 1 species
GUCUCACUGAAAACUGGUCCCUGUCUUUAGGCUGACUGGUUUCACUCCUCAGAGAAACCUGUAAGGCCACAAGCAACCUUCUAGGCUGCUGAGUGUUGUGGGGCUUCUAAAUCAGGCAAAGCAAGUGUGUCUUCCUGCCGUCCCCAGGCUGUUUCUGGGUAGAAGCUAGCCCAUAUGAUGCCGUCUACAAAUCAGUGAAAUUGAGUUCUGAGAAUGCACAGAGUGGUAGGGAGGGCAGGCUGGAUUGCGGGCCCUCUUAGCCUUGGCAGGGUGUGUUGGGAAGUGGGCAAUUUACCAAACUGUACGCAGGCCUUGCUGAGCUUUGUGCUCUCCAGGAAGUUUCUGUCAUUCAUCUGGCAAACUCCGGGGAAUGUGGAAGCAGUAAGUAAAGAAGAAAGGGUGGCAUCCAGCUUGCGUUCCACACCCUGGUGAGGCCUUCACCUCUGGGGGAACCAGACGUGGUUCUGGAUCCUGAGUAGCAGGAGCCCAACAAGCCCACAGACUCCGAUGGAACACCCAGAAGGCACGGCGGCCGGGAGUGACUCCUUACCUCUUACCUUGCUCUCCUUGACG